UACGGGGGGGGCAAGCGUUGUUCGGAAUUACUGGGCGUAAAGGGCGCGUAGGCGGCCUUCUAAGUCAGACGUGAAAUCCCUCGGCUCAACCGAGGAACUGCGUCUGAUACUGGAAGGCUUGAAUCCGGGAGAGGGAUGUGGAAUUCCAGGUGUAGCGGUGAAAUGCGUAGAUAUCUGGAGGAACACCGGUGGCGAAGGCGGCAUCCUGGACCGGUAUUGACGCUGAGGCGCGAAAGCUAGGGUAGCAAACGGG
rnacentral:rRNA from 1 species